rnacentral:rRNA from 1 species
AGAGUUUGAUCCUGGCUCAGAUUGAACGCUAGCGGGAUGCCUUACACAUGCAAGUCGAACGGCAGCACGGACUUCGGUCUGGUGGCGAGUGGCGAACGGGUGAGUAAUGUAUCGGAACGUGCCCAGUAGCGGGGGAUAACUACGCGAAAGCGUAGCUAAUACCGCAUACGCCCUACGGGGGAAAGCAGGGGAUCGUAAGACCUUGCACUAUUGGAGCGGCCGAUAUCGGAUUAGCUAGUUGGUGGGGUAACGGCUCACCAAGGCGACGAUCCGUAGCUGGUUUGAGAGGACGACCAGCCACACUGGGACUGAGACACGGCCCAGACUCCUACGGGAGGCAGCAGUGGGGAAUUUUGGACAAUGGGGGAAACCCUGAUCCAGCCAUCCCGCGUGUGCGAUGAAGGCCUUCGGGUUGUAAAGCACUUUUGGCAGGAAAGAAACGUCAUGGGUUAAUACCCCGUGAAACUGACGGUACCUGCAGAAUAAGCACCGGCUAACUACGUGCCAGCAGCCGCGGUAAUACGUAGGGUGCAAGCGUUAAUCGGAAUUACUGGGCGUAAAGCGUGCGCAGGCGG